rnacentral:rRNA from 1 species
UCCAUACGAUUGAGAAGGGGCAUCUCUUUUCAAUGAAAGCUCCGGCGGUUUUAGAUGAGCAUGCGUGACAUUAGCUUGUUGGUGAGGUAACGGCUCACCAAGGCGACGAUGUCUAGGGGUUCUGAGAGGAUUCUCCCCCACACUGGUACUGAGACACGGACCAGACUCCUACGGGAGGCAGCAGUAAGGAAUAUUGGGCAAUGGGCGCAAGCCUGACCCAGCCAUGCCGCGUGAAGGAUGACGGCCCUACGGGUUGUAAACUUCUUUUGUACGGGAAAAAACCCCCGGUCGUGCACCGGGGUUGAUGGUACUGUAAGAAUAAGCAUCGGCUAACUCCGUGCCAGCAGCCGCGGUAAUACGGAGGAUGCAAGCGUUAUCCGGAUUCAUUGGGUUUAAAGG